UACGUAGGGUGCGAGCGUUAAUCGGAAUACUGGGCGUAAAGCGUGCGCAGGCGGCGCGUUAAGACAGGUGUGAAAGCCCCGAGCUUAACUUGGGAAUUGCGCUUGUGACUGGCGUGCUGGAGUGUGGCAGAGGGAGGUGGAAUUCCACGUGUAGCAGUGAAAUGCGUAGAGAUGUGGAGGAACACCGAUGGCGAAGGCAGCCUCCUGGGCCAGCACUGACGCUGAGGAGCGAAAGCGUGGGGAGCGAACAGG
rnacentral:rRNA from 1 species